rfam:Schistosoma curassoni strain Dakar, Senegal genome assembly, scaffold: SCTD_contig0000024
ACUAGGUGACGAGUCCCAAACAGGAUGAAACGUAUGUCCUGGAU